AUACGAAGGGGGCUAGCGUUGUUCGGAAUUACUGGGCGUAAAGCGCACGUAGGCGGAUAUUUAAGUCAGGGGUGAAAUCCCAGAGCUCAACUCUGGAACUGCCUUUGAUACUGGGUAUCUUGAGUAUGGAAGAGGUACGUGGAAUUCCGAGUGUAGAGGUGAAAUUCGUAGAUAUUCGGAGGAACACCAGUGGCGAAGGCGGCUUACUGGUCCAUUACUGACGCUGGGGUGCGAAAGCGUGGGGAGCAAACAGGAUUAGAAACCCUAGUAGUCC
rnacentral:rRNA from 1 species